rnacentral:lncRNA from 1 species
UAGCAACCGACAGUUAGCGUUAGCUCGUUAGCCUAGUGACGUUAUGCUAACACACAAAGAGCACAAACUGCUAAACCGAGGCUGGACUACUAGAAACCUGCAGCGUGUUAGGAAGGAGAGCUGCUCCUGUAGCGACUACCUGAACGAAGGAGAGUUGGUUUAAAGUCCCUGGUUUAAACACUGGUUUCUUUGCUUCGUGAAUGACAACUCUUACUUAUACAUAACGCUGGACAUAUUUGAAGAAG